rnacentral:lncRNA from 1 species
CCUUCCCCCAUGUCUGAUUGUGGAAAACCUGGAGUUUACUUCGGAUCGGCCAUGCCCCCAUCCCAUUGAGAGAGAGGGCGAUAUUCUUUGGUUGAAGAUCCGCUAUUUCUAUCAUCUUUUUCUACGAUGAUAUUGGAUGAGAAGGUCUUACCUGUUUUAUUGAACUGACCUUACAAAAGGUGUCAUGGGUGAAACUCUUCAAGCAAUCGUACCCAUAGUGAGACUUUCAGGACCGCUCACAGGAUUGAACACAAAACCAGUUCAUUCUUCACCCUUUCCCCUUCGCUAUAUAGUGGUCCUUGAAUGUGCCCUCGGCUCUUCCUCUUCCUUAAUCAUAGAUCUUACAUAAGAGAAUAUAGAUAAGGGUCUUUUGACUAUGCGCUCGCAAGGGCUGAGGCAGGGGACUGCCCAUACCUGGAAUAACCGCCUCCUGUAGACGACGGGGCUCCACUUGGGCAAGGGAUAGGAUCUCUUGUUUCACCAUCUCCGGGUCGUCAGAUGCUUUUUGAUGAAAAUAGUCUCGGGCUUGAGCGGAUGUCCCAUUUCAUCCAACAGCAACAAAAGCAGGAGCGGGACCAGCAACUAGGUAGGGUUGUUCAAAGCAUUACGUCUUGUGUUCAGAGACUGGGGAAGAGGGCGACCUGUGGAAGCAUGCACAAAGACUUAGAUGUGGGGUCCAGGUAAGACGACCCAAGGAGAUAACCGACGGCCUGUCUCCGGCUCCGGAAAGCUGCUGGUUAGAUAGAGUGAUUGAAACCAGUUAGAGCCGGGUCCAUCCCACAGAGGUCGGAUGGGGUUUGGGCCGAGAACGGCUGAGAAGCCCACCAGAAAGAUCAGUAGGCCUCGCGAAUAAACCAUCUAAGCUUUCAUUUCAUGUGGAAGCGCCUCUCUGUUAUGACCUCUUCCGGAUAGAUUAAAUAAUAAUAUAUGCCGUCGCUAUUCUUUUUAUUCAAUGAAGCAGUUCCUCUUCUAAACCUAAUUCAUCUUCUUCAAUCAAACGGCCGUACUCGACCAUCUCAGUAGCUCAGCGGUAGAGCGGUCGGCUGUGAACAACUCACUGGAAAAAAAAGGUUCGAUUCCUGCUUGAGAUUUUGAUAGAAAUAAUAUGUAUCUAAAUCAGAGUUCUUUAUAUACUAUAUUAGAUGAUCCUUUCUCUUUUGCUUUAGCUUUUCCUGUCAUUCCCGCUGGUUAAGGAGCAGCAGUAGCGGUUUACAGAACAGCUAUUUCUUUAAGUAGACUCACUCCUGAAAAAGAAUCAAAGGGUCUCAGGCGGAAGGCUUCCUAAAUCAUUUUCCAGAACUACCUAAAGGCUUUAAGGCACAAAGAGAAGGAGAUACGUCCCACUAACUGGUAACCGGAACAAUAAGAAGAGGAUGGACUCUAUUUUCUGAGGAGACAUUGACUCUGUUCAGCCGUUACCAUUCUAUAUGCCUUUUCCGCCUUCAAGCCCUUAUCCCGGAUAGGAGAUGUAUGCAAACGAUGCAGGAAUCGAAGUUGAGUAAUAGAAGACUCGCUUUUCUUAAUAUUAAUAGAAGAAAGCCUAUAGAAUGACCAGUUUGUUUCCUACAGGUUGACCGGCGGCCAAUUGUUUUUUUCAGAUAGGGACGAGUAAAGCGCGAUUCUUAUCCGGGAUCACUAUUCUAAUCGGGGUUGUAACUCCCCCAACCUCGACUCACUCCUACUAUCAUUCAUUCUAUCUCCGCUUCACUUCGUUCAGCUCCUAAUCGACAUCUUUCUCAUUAGCCUUUAAGCUUUCUUUCUGGUUCCUCCAUCCCCCCAUCUCAAUAAAGAUGACCAGGGAGUCUAUUACCAAUCCGGGUAGUUUUCCCUCCAAUCUUUCCCCUAGCUACUAGUCUCAUCAGGCGCUCCGGGUGGUAGUUUAGUUAUUACUCCUUGUCGGCGCCCCUGCUUCUCCAUUUCCAAUGGCUAUUAGAUAAUAGAGAAACUAUUAGAUAGUGGAAAAAAAAACCUUCCAUCUAGUAAACAAUUAUCCAGCUUACUCUACCCGUAUGGUCUACUCCCGGCCAGACAUAGGCGGUUUUGUUCCUUACACUCUCACUAGGGCCAGCUGGUAGAUGAAUCUAUCCGUCUAGAUAGUGCUAUCCAUAGAUUGGACAACUAUCUCUGCCUGCCAGAGAUUGGCAGUAUUCAACUUCUAUAGGCGGUUCCAAGCGAACUUAUCAGUCGCUUCCCUUUCUAUGGUUCAAACAAAGUCUCAGCCUUCCCCAACCCUAUCCUGGAAUUACCCACUUCAUCCCUUUACCCUUCGCUUUGCUCACCCUGGCCUAACCCUAUCCAUGAACCCGCCCCUUUCUCUUCCGGGCAAUGAACCUUUGUUACUACAUAGAAAGAGAAGUCAUUGAGCAGUCUAAACCUCUAUUGGAGAGGAGGGGCAACUAUCCCAUCCCGUUGGUAUCUGUAUCUUCUCCAUCCACUAGGGGCAGUGAACAAUCUAUCGCUUUCUAUCGGCGAGUAGCUAGAUUUCUCUUCUAUAGCGGUAUCUCUACCCUGUCCGUUUAUCCAUCCCUUAUUGUAAUGGUAGGCUGCCGGUUCAGUUUGUUUCUCUUCCAUCGGUAAUUCAAUCCAUCCUUCUAUCCCGGGAACAGACGAAGGUUGAUGAGGCUGGUAUAUCUAUUGAAAUCUUUGCCAGCCUCGGUUUCCUGUUCCGACCUGGCUUCAUCCCCAUCGUCGGCAAAAACAACGAGGAAAAAAAACCAAAAGAGAACCUACGGAAAUCAAAUGAAAAUCUAAAAUUGGAGAAAAUGUCCCUACUAGAUAGUUUCAUUAAUAGGCCGCGGAUGCACUUACCAAUCCCUGUACUCAAAUUGAAGAAUUGUCUAAGUAGUUCUUGGCUUUGUCUCAUUGUCUAUCCCGUAAUCACCGCCUCUACUUAAACUUCAAUUGAAGCGAGCACAACCUGAGCAAGAAAGCCGCAAAGGCUUUCGCGCUAGCGCGCUCCCC